AAUUCUCAACCCCUCCAGCUUUUGUGAGUUGCGAUGGGGCUUGGAAGGUGGGAGUUUGCGGGCCUCUGUAAUAGAGGUCGGCUCUCCUGAAAUGCAUUAGCGGAACCGUUUGCAGUCCCGUCACUAGUGUGAUAAUUAUCUACACUGUGAUGAUUGCUCUCUGGCUUGUUCAGCUACUAAUCGUCCUUUACCGGACAAUGUAUAAUGAACA
rnacentral:misc_RNA from 1 species